UUUAAAAUCGGUUCUUAAAUAACCGAUUUUAAAAGUAGCACUUUUAAAAUCGGCUAUUGAACAACCGAUUUUAAA
rnacentral:miRNA from 1 species